AAUCAAAACUUUCAACAACGGAUCUCUUGGUUCUGGCAUCGAUGAAGAACGCAGCGAAAUGCGAUAAGUAAUGUGAAUUGCAGAAUUCAGUGAAUCAUCGAAUCUUUGAACGCACAUUGCGCCCGUCAGUAUUCUGGCGGGCAUGCCUGUUCGAGCGUCAUUACGCCC
rnacentral:rRNA from 1 species